UUAAACGUCCAUACUCUAUACCACGUCGAAUACACCGGGGUUCUCGUCCGAUCCUCGAAGAUAAGCAACAUCAGGCGCGGUCAGUACUUGGAUGGGUGACCGCCUGGGAAAACCGCGAGACGUUGGCU
rnacentral:rRNA from 1 species